CACACCGGCCUACUCUUGCGAAUGCCAUCACGGGAUGUUUGACACAUACUGUGUAGCAGCCGGUGCGUAUGUUCACUAUUAAUGAAUAAAUCACCCGCAGCAUUAACCAGGGCGACCGCUGGUUUCGAACCGCGAACCUCAGCGCCAACAACAGCGACGACGACGGGGCGACCGCGCUCACCCGCUCGGCCGCAUCACCACCGUCUCAUCUGACCGCGCGGGGAAGCAAAUCGAGGAGCCGCUGCUGCCAAGACUCACUCAAGUUGUGGCUUUACAUUCGGCGUGUGAAGGCAGGCAAUCUCGCUGUUCCGGUGAACUAUCAGCGCGCCCACACCCAGAAUCUACUGAACGACGAUCACGACGAUCAUUGUAACCAGCCAGAGUGAACAAGACGCAGAUCAACAACUACCAACGUCACAUUCAGGUGGUCAAGCUCCAGACGACCGCGUCAGGAGCCGCCGAGUGUAUCAUCGUCGCUGUGAUGUCUCCUUCGUAUUUGUGGUUCGGGCAUUGCGACGUUGCACGGGCGGUUCUGCAUGACCGCAGUCGCACACUAACUGGAGCGUUUUUAUUUUUUUCCAUUUGUGCAUCAGCUAUGCGCAUCUGCUGCCAAAAUGUGUUCAGUGGAUGGCAUUUAGGGCAGAACAAAAUCUUUAUUGUAGGCUUUGACUCCGCUCGGUUACCCAGGAAACCCUCCGCUGAGUCUCUUGACUCUUUUUCAGGAGGGUCCUGCUACGUAUCGCGCGGCGAGGGGCGAUGCUUGCUACGUCCUCAAUUUCAAUAAAUUUGAUUUUUUUUAAAG